UGAAAAGAACUUUGAAAAGAGAGUGAAAAAGUACCUGCAAUUGCUGAAAAGGAACCGAUGGGAAGUAGUGUGG
rnacentral:rRNA from 1 species